rnacentral:rRNA from 1 species
GACGAACGCUGGCGGCGUGCUCAACACAGGCAAGCCGAACGGAAAGGCCCUGCUUUUGUGGGGUGCUCGAGUGGCGAACGGGUGAGUAACACGGGAGUAACCUGCCCUCGACCUUGGGAUAACUUCAGGAAACUGGGGCUAAUACCGGAUAGGAGCUCCUGCUGCAUGGUGGGGGUUGGAAAGUUUCGGCGGUUGGGGAUGGCCUCGCGGCUUAUCAGCUUGUUGGUGGGGGAGUGGCUUACCAAGGCUUUGACGGGUAGCCGGCCUGAGAGGGUGACCGGCCACAUUGGGGCUGCAAUACGGCCCAGACUCCUACGGGAGGCAGCAGUGGGGAAUAUUGCACAAUGGGCGGAAGCCUGAUGCAGCAACGCCGCGUGCGGGAUGACGGCCUUCGGGUUGUAAACCGCUUUCGCCUGUGACGAAGCGUGAGUGGCGGUAAUGGGUAAAGAGGCACCGGCUCACUACGUG